rnacentral:rRNA from 1 species
AGAGUUUGAUCCUGGCUCAGGAUGAACGCUGGCGGCGUGCCUAACACAUGCAAGUCGAACGGAGCCUAAUCAGCAGAAGCAGACAGCUUGCUGGAAGCGGAAGCAGAAAAGGCUUAGUGGCGGACGGGUGAGUAACGCGUGGGUAACCUGGCCCAUACAGGGGGAUAACACUUAGAAAUAGGUGCUAAUACCGCAUAACAACAGAAAGCGCAUGCUUUGUGUUUGAAAACUGAGGUGGUAUGGGAUGGACCCGCGUCUGAUUAGCUGGUUGGCGGGGUAAUGGCCCACCAAGGCGACGAUCAGUAGCCGGCCUGAGAGGGUGGACGGCCACAUUGGGACUGAGACACGGCCCAAACUCCUACGGGAGGCAGCAGUGGGGAAUAUUGCACAAUGGGGGAAACCCUGAUGCAGCGACGCCGCGUGAGUGAAGAAGUAAUUCGUUAUGUAAAGCUCUAUCAGCAGGGAAGAAAAUGACGGUACCUGAUUAAGAAGCCCCGGCUAACUACGUGCCAGCAGCCGCGGUAAUACGUAGGGGGCAAGCGUUAUCCGGAUUUACU